UAGAGUUUGAUCAUGGCUCAGGAUUAACGCUAGCGGCAGGCCUAAUACAUGCAAGUCGAACGGUAACAGGUCCAGCAAUGGAUGCUGACGAGUGGCGCACGGGUGCGUAACACGUAUGCAAUCUACCCUUAACUGGGGGAUAGCCCCGAGAAAUCGGGAUUAAUACCCCAUAAUAUUAUGAAGAGGCAUCUCUUUAUAAUUAAAGCUCCGGCGGUUUUGGAUGAGCAUGCGCGACAUUAGCUAGUUGGUGAGGUAACGGCUCACCAAGGCCUCGAUGUCUAGGGGUUCUGAGAGGAUUCACCCCCACACUGGUACUGAGACACGGACCAGACUCCUACGGGAGGCAGCAGUAAGGAAUAUUGGUCAAUGGACGCAAGUCUGAACCAGCCAUGCCGCGUGAAGGAAGACGGCCCUACGGGUUGUAAACUUCUUUUGUACAGGAAAAAACCACCGGUCGUGAAUCGGUGCUGAUGGUACUGUAAGAAUAAGCAUCGGCUAACUCCGUGCCAGCCGCCGCGGUAA
rnacentral:rRNA from 1 species